rnacentral:rRNA from 1 species
ACAUAUCAAUAAGCGGAGGAAAAGAAACCAACAGGGAUUGCCCCAGUAACGGCGAGUGAAGCGGCAACAGCUCAAAUUUGAAAUCUGGCCUUCGGGUCCGAGUUGUAAUUUGGAGAGGAUGCUUUUGGCGCGGCGCCGUCCGAGUUCCUUGGAACAGGACGCCAUAGAGGGUGAGAGCCCCGUACGGGCGGCCGCCUAGCCUUUGUAAAGCUCCUUCGACGAGUCGAGUAGUUUGGGAAUGCUGCUCAAAAUGGGAGGUAAAUUUCUUCUAAAGCUAAAUACCGGCCAGAGACCGAUAGCGCACAAGUAGAGUGAUCGAAAGAUGAAAAGCACUUUGAAAAGAGGGUUAAAAAGUACGUGAAAUUGUUGAAAGGGAAGCGCCUGUGACCAGACUUGCGACCCGUGGAUCAUCCGGUGUUCUUCACCGGUGCACUCCGCGGGCUGCAGGCCAGCAUCGGUUUUCCUAGGGGGUUAAAGGUCGCAGGAACGUAGCUCUUUCGGGAGUGUUAUAGCCUGUGGCGUCAUGCCUCUGGGGAGACCGAGGACCGCGCUUCGGCAAGGAUGCUGGCGUAAUGGUCACCGGCGACCCGUCUUGAAACACGGACCAAGGAGUCAAGCAUUGGGGCGAGUGUCUGGGUGCCAAACCCGCACGCGAAAUGAAAGUAAACGCAGGUGAGAGCUUCGGCGCAUCACCGACCGAUCCUGAUGUCUUCGGAUGGAUUUGAGUAAGAGCCUUACCGCUUGGACCCGAAAGAUGGUGAACUAUGCCUGUAUAGGGUGAAGCCAGAGGAAACUCUGGUGGAGGCUCGCAGCGGUUCUGACGUGCAAAUCGAUCGUCAAAUAUGGGCAUGGGGGCGAAAGACUAAUCGAACCAUCUAGUAGCUGGUUA